GUAGGUGGCAAGCGUUGUCCGGAAUUAUUGGGCGUAAAGCGCGCGCAGGCGGUUCUUUAAGUCUGAUGUGAAAGCCCACGGCUCAACCGUGGAGGGUCAUUGGAAACUGGAGAACUUGAGUACAGAAGAGGAAAGCGGAAUUCCACGUGUAGCGGUGAAAUGCGUAGAGAUGUGGAGGAACACCAGUGGCGGAGGCGGCUUUCUGGUCUGUAACUGACGCUGAGGCGCGAAAGCGUGGGGAGCAAACAGGGAUUAGAUACCCUGGUAGUCCACGCCGUAAACGAUGAGUGCUAAGUGUUAGGGGGUUUCCGCCCCCUUAGUGCUGCAGCUAACGCAUUAAGCACUCCGCCUGGGGAUACGGCCGCAAGGCUG
rnacentral:rRNA from 1 species